UGAUUGGGGAUUGAAGACUUGCAACAACGAUUUUCAUCAGGACUGUAUUCAUGAAGUGAAUUGCGGAAAGAAUCAGUUUAGAUAAAGAUAUGAUUAGGAUGGUCAAUCAAAGAAUAUACGGUCAAGCAAGGUUGAAUCUUUGGAAAUCAAAUCGAUCGAUUUCCAAUUUUACUGUGGUAAAGAGAAGAUUGUGGUUUCAUAUGACGAGGUGAUUGAGAUUCGAAGGGAUCAGGGAGAUACAGCUAGGAUGGGGAUUAAAUAAGAAUUGCAAGAUUAACAUAUGGAUUCUCAAGGCAAGGGGUUUUGGAGAUGUGAUAGGAAUGUUCUUCAAUGUUUGAACCAAGUUCGGUAGGAAACAAGUAAAACAGACAGGACUCGUCAGUGGGUUAGUUCAAAGACGUUUUAUUAGAUCAGUAAACGGUUUGAUUACAGGUAAGAAAAUAAGAGAAAGAGUAAACCGGUGCUCGGAGAGCUCGGCCGGGAAAGGUAAAGUUGGCAAGAAAGUAAAGAGUAAAACCCUAGUUUCUAACCGCCAAAUGUGUGUGAAAUGUUUGGAUCCCUUUUCUCGUCACCCCUCCUCCUCCUUUUAAAAUCGAGCUCCCUUCUCCCGUUUACCCUAGAUCAUCUCGUAGUAAUGGGCUUUAGCUUUCCUCGGGCUUGGUAAAAUGCCAGAGUAAUCAGCCUUACAGCUGAGUGAUAAACCAUGGAUUUUACC
rnacentral:lncRNA from 1 species